ACUCCUGCGGGAGGCAGCAGUGGGGAAUUUUGGACAAUGGGCGAAAGCCUGAUCCAGCAAUGCCGCGUGAGUGAAGAAGGCCUUCGGGUUGUAAAGCUCUUUUGUCAGGGAAGAAACGGUGAAAGCUAAUAUCUUUUGCUAAUGACGGUACCUGAAGAAUAAGCACCGGCUAACUACGUGCCAGCAGCCGCGGUAAUACGUAGGGUGCAAGCGUUAAUCGGAAUUACUGGGCGUAAAGCGUGCGCAGGCGGUUUUGUAAGUCUGAUGUGAAAUCCCCGGGCUCAACCUGGGAAUUGCAUUGGAGACUGCAAGGCUAGAAUCUGGCAGAGGGGGGUAGAAUUCCACGUGUAGCAGUGAAAUGCGUAGAUAUGUGGAGGAACACCGAUGGCGAAGGCAGCCCCCUGGGUCAAGAUUGACGCUCAUGCACGAAAGCGUGGGGAGCAAACAGGAUUAGAAACCCCAGUAGUCCC
rnacentral:rRNA from 1 species